CAGAUUCCUAGGAAAAAUCCAAGAAGAAAGAGCUGCCAGUUUUAACUCCUGCCAGAAUCCUAAUGCAACCUGUCUCACAGGACAGCGCAGGCCCCGCCCGAAGAGCAAGAAAGAAUCAGCUGCUUCCUGCCCCACCUAAAAGGCUUGGGGACCAGUGCCCUUUUGUUCCGGCCACAACCAAAUCUGAUAUCAGGAAAUGAUCUUAUGUCAGAGACUUACACUUCAGUGGGAAUUUCUAUCAGCAGAGUGUCUGCAUCUUUAAACCUAUGCAGAAGGCAACAAGGAGCCACUGAAGGACUUUUGGAGCAACAGCCCACAGAGGGUGACAGCAGGGAGGAGAAGUCUGGAGUUUGCAGAGCAACAGGGAAGCCAUCGCUGGAGUCUACUCGAGGGCCUGAACUAGCACAGCUGCAGGGGCAGCAAAGAGGAGGAGACAGGCGUGAGAGCCGAUUCUGA
rnacentral:lncRNA from 1 species